ACAGCAGUCGUUUCCGGAAGGCAACCAUCAACAGCCAGGACUACUGCCUGCUGAAGCUCCCGAAGCUCAUGAUACAGGGAGAGCAGAAGGCUGGAAACACAGCUGUGAUUAGCAAGCUGAUAGAUGAAGCAAGGCUGGAAGCAGGCGCUAUCUCCUGUGGUUAUCUUCCCAUUUAACACUUCAAAACACUUCUCCAGCACCUGUAGGUGAUGAGUGACAAUUAUCCUGAGUUUUUAAAACUUUUUGAAAAAUGAGCUAUUACUUUCUGUGGUUUUAUCUGCCA
rnacentral:lncRNA from 10 species